CAAAUCCCCCUGCUCCUGUGGUGAAGCCCCCCACUGUUGUGCCCAAGCCCCCUGCUCCACCGGUCAGCCCUCCUACUGUUGCUCCGAAGCCACCUGCUCCUGUGGUGCCCAAGCCCCCUACCCCACCUGCCAACCCUCCUACUGUUGCUCCCAAGCCACCUGCUCCCCCAGUGAAGCCUCCUACCGUUGUGCCCAAGCCCCCUUCUCCACCUGUCAACCCUCCUACCCCCAAGCCACCUGCUUCCCCAGUGAAGCCUCCCACUGUUGCACCAAAGCCUCCUGUGCCACCAGUCACGCCUCCUACUACAGCACCAAUGCCCCCAGUGAGGGCAAGAUUGGGUACUAUUUCUUCCCUAUGAUAGGAUAAAAUCUGCUGAGCCUUUUUCAUCUUUUUCAUCUUUCUUGGUUAAUAUUCUGAGAAUGUGUUGUGAUUGUCGUCUGCAGACUGCAUCCCACUAUGUGAUCAGAGGUGUAAAGCACAUUCAAGGAAGAACAUAUGUGUGAGAGCAUGCAUGACAUGCUGUGACCGCUGCAAAUGUGUUCCACCAGGAACGUAUGGUAACAGGGAGAAGUGUGGCAAGUGCUACACUGACAUGACCACUCACGGCAACAAACCCAAGUGCCCUUAAAAUGGACUAGAAUCAUGGUUUUCUUUGUCGGGUGCGAGUCUUGUUGACUGAAGAUGUAAUAACUUGAAGAGGAAAGUAAGAAGUAAAUCGUUUCUAGGGAUCUUUCUUCCACCGGCUUCAACUAUCAUUAGCCAGUCCUCAUCUUUUCAUGGUCUGUACUGUUUUUCCCCAUUGUGAAUUGCCCUUGCUACUGUUUGUUAAAAGUUCUCCUUACAAGAACCGGUUCUUGAUUCUUCUGUGAUUUUUUCAGUGAGUAUUCUUUUUUUCCAAAGGAUUCGUGUUUAAUUUGUCCGUCCAAAGAACCAAACUGAAAUUAGAUCCUUGAGAUCAUCAAACUAAGCUGACUUUUAAUGAAUUGGACCUGUCACUCGGUGGAUCCGAAUCCAAUGUUUGAUGCUAGGUAGCAUAGAAUGAUUUCAUAUAUAAGAAGCCUAGUGUAAAGGGCUCCGUAAGUAUAGAUGUAAUGCUCAAUACUUUUCCAACCUUUGAACUAGUCGUUUUUAAGUUCAAUAAUGAAGGAGCUGGCACAAGUUUCAUUCUUUAAACAUAUUGGAAUAGAAGCCAUUCCCCUUGAGUCAAGCAGCAAGUGGGACUCAAGAGAAGUCUUGUCAUUAAUGGCAGACUAGAGGCUGCAGAAUAAUUCAGGACAUUGCAGUAUGAUUGGAGAAGUCUGCCACAAUGUCCCUACAUUUCCAGUGUGAUCAUAUAAAUUCUUUCAUCAUUGAUAACGAACAAGUUGGAGCUGUGAUGACCGACUUGGUUAAUUGUUUAGGGUUUUGAAAGUGGCUGAUAAUGAGUUCCACCAGUGACCGACCAAAGGAUAAUUUGGCUGUUCCUGUUAACCUAUUUACAACUCGGGACCAGCAAUGAGGAGUAGGUUGGAAGAAUAAACUAUAAAGGAAGAAGUUACCAUGGUGUGUCAAUCUAACAGCUGGAAUCGAUGGAGCAGGUUCACUAUGCAGCUUUGGCUUGUCCUGCACCACCAUCAUGAAGCAAACGACAAAGAUGCCUCAAAAAUCUUUGGAAUUGCUUCCAGGCCAGCACAUUAAAUUGUAGCUAUGAAUGACAGUGACUAUCCAAAAAGACAAGACACCAAGCGUAGAUAUCAAUGCCCGUAUCGAACGGUCAUGAGUAUAUUCCUACAUGUAUCUCUGCCUAUAUAUAUAGGAGGGAUACCGGGACAUGAUGAUAUAGCAGGCUGCCAACCACCUAGUUGCUUUCACAAAGAGAUCAGAAACUAUGGCUUUCCAAAAGUAUGCUGUCAUUUUCUCAAUUUGGUUUGUUUUAUCAGUAUUGGCCGUGGCUGCACUUGAAGCACCUGCCCCCAACUCCCCAUCUCAGGCGCCAAAUCCACUUGCAUCUUUCCAGGCAAUGCUGAUGGGAUUCGUGGGUGUUGCUAUUUCCUUUAUUUUCUUUAAAUCUGUGGCUUGAGCUCCCCCAUUCAACUCUACUUGUUCUGGUGUGCUUCUUUCAGUAUUUUCUGCACCAUGUUUCUGUGACUGGAGAUGUUAUUGAGCUCACAAUCUAGCACAAAAUUAUGAAUAAUGCACUUGUAUCAAGUCCUCCCCCUUGAUUUACUACAAUGUUGUAAUGCCUGUCCUAUUGUGUACCAACCCUUGAUUGAGUGAAAUAUCAUCUCCGAUCUGUUUCUAUCUUGGAAAAUGUUAGGGCACUGAUUCAGUAUCAACAGAACUUGCAGUCAGGAUCCUUAAAAAUUCAUGAUGAAAUUGUGGUUAGGGUACAAUUACAAACAAAUCAAACAUCAAGCAACAUACAAACAAAUGGGACGCAAGUGAAAUAUAAAAACAUUGGAACCAAAUUAUAUAUAUGAUAUGUUUUUGGACAAAUAGUUGAAGAGGUCAGCCAGCGGAAAAAUAGAGCCAGCCCAUCACUUUUUGCUGGAAAUGGGCCUGUCAUUACAUGAGCUGGGUGCUGCCACAUUGGUUAACAUUUGGCUUGGCAGGUGACCCCCCACCCCCAACAAAAACAAAAGGACUCUUUGGAACCAAAGCCUUCGAGCCACAUUGGUCAAGGGCCACGGUGCCAAUCUCAGAACAAAGAUCCUCUCGUUUAUGCCAGCCAAACCAGGCUGCUUUCAUUAGUGAUUUGGGACUAGAGUGAUCCGUUGGCUGGUGUCUGGCUUCGAAAAUUAGAGGUGGUUUUUAGUUAUUUUCAGGUGGGGUUUUCUCAAUUUCCACGUCUCAGCCUAAAGAAAAGAAGAGAGCAUAGCGAGAGCGGAGUCACAGAAUGGGUGGAGAUGGGAUCUUGGGGUUCGGAGAUGUUGAGCAAAUCAAAGAAGCUACAAGCGGAAAGAGAAGGUGGUUGAAGAGGAGAGAGAGAUGGCUUGUGGUUCUUGGGGUGGUUCUACACGCAGUUUACAUGCUCAGUAUCUUCGAUAUCUACUUCAAGACCCCAAUCAUCCAUGGCAUGGACCCGGUCACUCCUCGCUUCAAGGCUCCCGCCAAGCGUCUCGUGCUUUUGGUUGGUACGGUCUCUAGAGCACCAUCUAUUCGCUGAUUUGAUCCAGCUAAUUUCACGAGUUAUUGGCAUUGGAUGUAAAGUGGGUCCGUUUAGUUUUGUAUUGCUGGUUGUUUAUUUGAUAGUAGGGACUAAUUGGUUGCUUCGAGCAUUCUAAAAGAUCUUUAUUUAUUUAUUUAUUUUUUGGGUAUUUUUUGCAUUGAAUCAUUGUGGUUUAUUAAAACUGAACACCUGGUUCUGUGAUUUCCACUGCAACCACUUUAGCAU
rnacentral:lncRNA from 1 species